GAAAGUAACUCCAUUUUAGGAGUUAAAUUCCUCUCAUUAUAUAUUCAUAAUGGAGAUUUGAAAACAAGGAGUGAAGAUUGGUGAUGCACAUCGCGUUAAUGAUAAUUUUUAUUGAAAUUGAACAAAAUCUUGUAUUGAAAUCAUUUACUACAUCAGAAUACGUGAUGAAAAGAUUGCCUCGGAUAGUUCUGUUGAUUUUAAAAUCAAGACAAACUGAGUCAACUAAUC